rnacentral:rRNA from 1 species
CGGGUGAGUAACACGUGGAUAACCUACCUAUAAGACUGGGAUAACUUCGGGAAACCGGAGCUAAUACCGGAUAAUAUUUUGAACCGCAUGGUUCAAAAGUGAAAGACGGUCUUGCUGUCACUUAUAGAUGGAUCCGCGCUGCAUUAGCUAGUUGGUAAGGUAACGGCUUACCAAGGCAACGAUGCAUAGCCGACCUGAGAGGGUGAUCGGCCACACUGGAACUGAGACACGGUCCAGACUCCUACGGGAGGCAGCAGUAGGGAAUCUUCCGCAAUGGGCGAAAGCCUGACGGAGCAACGCCGCGUGAGUGAUGAAGGUCUUCGGAUCGUAAAACUCUGUUAUUAGGGAAGAACAUAUGUGUAAGUAACUGUGCACAUCUUGACGGUACCUAAUCAGAAAGCCACGGCUAACUACGUGCCAGCAGCCGCGGUAAUACGUAGGUGGCAAGCGUUAUCCGGAAUUAUUGGGCGUAAAGCGCGCGUAGGCGGUUUUUUAAGUCUGAUGUGAAAGCCCACGGCUCAACCGUGGAGGGUCAUUGGAAACUGGAAAACUUGAGUGCAGAAGAGGAAA